UCAAGUGAAGAAGCGCAUACGGUGGAUGCCUUGGCAGUCAGAGGCGAUGAAAGACGUGGUAGCCUGCGAUAAGCUUCGGGGAGUCGGCAAACAGACUUUGAUCCGGAGAUCUCUGAAUGGGGGAACCCACCUAGGAUAACCUAGGUAUCUUGUACUGAAUCCAUAGGUGCAAGAGGCGAACCAGGGGAACUGAAACAUCUAAGUACCCUGAGGAAAAGAAAUCAACCGAGAUUCCCUUAGUAGUGGCGAGCGAACGGGGAUUAGCCCUUAAGCUUCAUUGAUUUUAGCGGAACGCUCUGGAAAGUGCGGCCAUAGUGGGUGAUAGCCCCGUACGCGAAAGGAUCUUUGAAGUGAAAUCGAGUAGGACGGAGCACGAGAAACUUUGUCUGAACAUGGGGGGACCAUCCUCCAAGGCUAAAUACUACUGACUGACCGAUAGUGAACCAGUACCGUGAGGGAAAGGCGAAAAGAACCCCGGAGAGGGGAGUGAAAUAGAACCUGAAACCGUAUGCGUACAAGCAGUGGGAGCCUACUUGUUAGGUGACUGCGUACCUUUUGUAUAAUGGGUCAGCGACUUAUAUUCAGUGGCGAGCUUAACCGAAUAGGGUAGGCGUAGCGAAAGCGAGUCUUAAUAGGGCGUUUAGUCGCUGGGUAUAGACCCGAAACCGGGCGAUCUAUCCAUGAGCAGGUUGAAGGUUAGGUAACACUGACUGGAGGACCGAACCCACUCCCGUUGAAAAGGUAGGGGAUGACUUGUGGAUCGGAGUGAAAGGCUAAUCAAGCUCGGAGAUAGCUGGUUCUCCUCGAAAGCUAUUUAGGUAGCGCCUCAUGUAUCACUCUGGGGGGUAGAGCACUGUUUCGGCUAGGGGGUCAUCCCGACUUACCAAACCGAUGCAAACUCCGAAUACCCAGAAGUGCCGAGCAUGGGAGACACACGGCGGGUGCUAACGUCCGUCGUGAAAAGGGAAACAACCCAGACCGCCAGCUAAGGUCCCAAAGUUGUGGUUAAGUGGUAAACGAUGUGGGAAGGCUUAGACAGCUAGGAGGUUGGCUUAGAAGCAGCCAUCCUUUAAAGAAAGCGUAAUAGCUCACUAGUCGAGUCGGCCUGCGCGGAAGAUGUAACGGGGCUCAAACCACACACCGAAGCUGCGGGUGUCACGUAAGUGACGCGGUAGAGGAGCGUUCUGUAAGCCUGUGAAGGUGAGUUGAGAAGCUUGCUGGAGGUAUCAGAAGUGCGAAUGCUGACAUGAGUAACGACAAUGGGUGUGAAAAACACCCACGCCGAAAGACCAAGGGUUCCUGCGCAACGUUAAUCGACGCAGGGUUAGUCGGUUCCUAAGGCGAGGCUGAAAAGCGUAGUCGAUGGGAAACAGGUUAAUAUUCCUGUACUUCUGGUUACUGCGAUGGAGGGACGGAGAAGGCUAGGCCAGCUUGGCGUUGGUUGUCCAAGUUUAAGGUGGUAGGCUGAAAUCUUAGGUAAAUCCGGGGUUUCAAGGCCGAGAGCUGAUGACGAGUCGUCUUUUAGAUGACGAAGUGGUUGAUGCCAUGCUUCCAAGAAAAGCUUCUAAGCUUCAGGUAACCAGGAACCGUACCCCAAACCGACACAGGUGGUCGGGUAGAGAAUACCAAGGCGCUUGAGAGAACUCGGGUGAAGGAACUAGGCAAAAUGGCACCGUAACUUCGGGAGAAGGUGCGCCGGCUAGGGUGAAGGAUUUACUCCGUAAGCUCUGGCUGGUCGAAGAUACCAGGCCGCUGCGACUGUUUAUUAAAAACACAGCACUCUGCAAACACGAAAGUGGACGUAUAGGGUGUGACGCCUGCCCGGUGCCGGAAGGUUAAUUGAUGGGGUUAGCGCAAGCGAAGCUCUUGAUCGAAGCCCCGGUAAACGGCGGCCGUAACUAUAACGGUCCUAAGGUAGCGAAAUUCCUUGUCGGGUAAGUUCCGACCUGCACGAAUGGCGUAACGAUGGCGGCGCUGUCUCCACCCGAGACUCAGUGAAAUUGAAAUCGCUGUGAAGAUGCAGUGUAUCCGCGGCUAGACGGAAAGACCCCGUGAACCUUUACUGUAGCUUUGCACUGGACUUUGAGCCUGCUUGUGUAGGAUAGGUGGGAGGCUUUGAAGCGUGGACGCCAGUUCGCGUGGAGCCAUCCUUGAAAUACCACCCUGGCAUGCUUGAGGUUCUAACUCUGGUCCGUGAUCCGGAUCGAGGACAGUGUAUGGUGGGCAGUUUGACUGGGGCGGUCUCCUCCUAAAGAGUAACGGAGGAGUACGAAGGUGCGCUCAGACCGGUCGGAAAUCGGUCGCAGAGUAUAAAGGCAAAAGCGCGCUUGACUGCGAGACAGACACGUCGAGCAGGUACGAAAGUAGGUCUUAGUGAUCCGGUGGUUCUGUAUGGAAGGGCCAUCGCUCAACGGAUAAAAGGUACUCCGGGGAUAACAGGCUGAUACCGCCCAAGAGUUCAUAUCGACGGCGGUGUUUGGCACCUCGAUGUCGGCUCAUCACAUCCUGGGGCUGAAGCCGGUCCCAAGGGUAUGGCUGUUCGCCAUUUAAAGUGGUACGCGAGCUGGGUUUAGAACGUCGUGAGACAGUUCGGUCCCUAUCUGCCGUGGACGUUUGAGAUUUGAGAGGGGCUGCUCCUAGUACGAGAGGACCGGAGUGGACGAACCUCUGGUGUUCCGGUUGUCACGCCAGUGGCAUUGCCGGGUAGCUAUGUUCGGAAAAGAUAACCGCUGAAAGCAUCUAAGCGGGAAACUUGCCUCAAGAUGAGAUCUCACUGGGAACUUGAUUCCCCUGAAGGGCCGUCGAAGACUACGACGUUGAUAGGCUGGGUGUGUAAGCGUUGUGAGGCGUUGAGCUAACCAGUACUAAUUGCCCGUGAGGCUUGACCAU
rnacentral:rRNA from 3 species